AUAACCAUUGGAAACGAUGGCUAAUACCGCAUGAUGCCUACGGGCCAAAGAGGGGGACCUUCGGGCCUCUCGCGUCGGGAUAUGCCUAGGUGGGAUUAGCUAGUUGGUGAGGUAAGGGCUCACCAAGGCGACGAUCCCUAGCUGGUCUGAGAGGAUGAUCAGCCACACUGGAACUGAGACACGGUCCAGACUCCUACGGGAGGCAGCAGUGGGGAAUAUUGCACAAUGGGCGCAAGCCUGAUGCAGCCAUGCCGCGUGUGUGAAGAAGGCCUUCGGGUUGUAAAGCACUUUCAGUCGUGAGGAAGGUGGUAGUGUUAAUAGCACUAUUAUUUGACGUUAGCGACAGAAUAAGCACCGGCUAACUCCGUGCCAGCAGCCGCGGUAAUACUGAGGGUGCGAGCGUUAAUCGGAAUUACUGGGCGUAAAGCGCAUGCAGGUGGUUUGUUAAUUCAGAUGUGAAAGCCCGGGGCUCAUCCUCGGAAUUGCAUUUGAAACUGGCAGACUAGAGUACUGUAGAGGGGGGUAGAAUUUCACGUGUAGCGUUGAAAUGCGUAGAGAUCUGAAGGAAUACCGGUGGCGAAUGCGGCCCCCCUGGACAGAUACUGAC
rnacentral:rRNA from 1 species